UGCACAAUGGGCGCAAGCCUGAUGCAGCGACGCCGCGUGAGGGAUGGAGGCCUUCGGGUUGUGAACCUCUUUCGCCAGUGAAGCAGGCCUGCUCCUUUUUUGUGGGUGGGUUGACGGUAGCUGGAUAAGAAGCGCCGGCUAACUACGUGCCAGCAGCCGCGGUAAUACGUAGGGCGCGAGCGUUGUCCGGAAUUAUUGGGCGUAAAGAGCUCGUAGGCGGCUGGUCGCGUCUGUCGUGAAAUCCUCUGGCUUAACUGGGGGCUUGCGGUGGGUACGGGCCGGCUUGAGUGCGGUAGGGGAGGCUGGAACUCCUGGUGUAGCGGUGGAAUGCGCAGAUAUCAGGAAGAACACCGGUGGCGAAGGCGGGUCUCUGGGCCGUUACUGACGCUGAGGAGCGAAAGCGUGGGGAGCGAACAGGCUUAGAUACCCUGGUAG
rnacentral:rRNA from 1 species